rnacentral:lncRNA from 1 species
UCUUAUUGCAAAACAAAUUAGAAUCCGCUUCGAUUCAAUAUCUAGAAUGAUCUCUUGUGCCACUGCACGACUUGACUCCUUAAUUUUGUAUAUUAUAUCCGCUACAUUGACAUUCUAUGCCACCCAAUUCCGUUCUCUCUGUAGAGGCAUUAGCAUUGGCAUAGGGCUUUCUUUGACUGGCGGUGUUUGACACAAUGUGUACAUAAUCACAGCAGACACAUAGUUGGAACUA